rnacentral:lncRNA from 11 species
GUGAGGAUGAUGAUAUUCUCCUCUAUUAAAGAAUAACCUGUCACUUCUUCAGCCAUACAAUAAUUUUAUUUUUAAAAACCCUAUCUACAAGGACACUCACCAACAUCUACUUUUGUGAUUCAGGCUUCCUAAAUUUUGUCAAGCUUCCUGGAUCUUCAGCCUUGAUACCCUUUUUUGAGUGGAAGUGCUUAAAACGAAAAUGGACCUUACCAAGUGAGGGUACAAUGAGUAGAAUGGAAGUACAGCAAUCACAAGGAACUAUUUUCUCAAAUAUUAGAAAAUAAAAAAAUUGAGAACAACUCUUCUUGCCUUGUCAUCAUUAAGGUAUCAUAUUCCUAAUAUAUGAAAUAUCAUGAAGAAAAUUUGAGUUGUGAAUUAGAAAGAUUUCAAUUCAGAUCAUAUCCAUGGUAUCCUACCUAGUCAAUUUUAAGUUGAGAAUUUUAAUCUGCAUUUCAUCAGUGGAUUUUAAUUUGUAUUUUAAUUCUGUGUAUCUUGUUGUGUGUGUUUAAUAAUGUUUUAUCACUUGCUUUAAUAAUGUUGUACCUCACCUGAACCACAGGGAGAGGUGGGUAGUAGUAGUAGUAGGAAUAGUAGUAAUAGUAAUAAUAAUAAUAAUAAUAAUAAUAAUAAUAAUAAUAAUAAUAGUAUUGGCAAGCUAGUUUCAUCCCCUUCUUGCAUAGAUGUGUUAAGUCUGGAUGACAACAAAGUUUGUUCAGUUCGUUUUUGGAUAAAAUCUGAA